UUGGCUUCUCAACACGUUCAUAUUUUGUUAUUGUAUCCCAUUUAGUUGUUUUUUUCUUGAAAGUAAGUCUCUUGUAUCUUAACCAUCUUUCUAAUCCAUUCAUGUUGGUUUUUUGGUAGCAUUGACACCCCUCGAUCAACGGUUAAAUUUGGGAAGUUUGUUGCUCUUUGAUUCUUUUUUUUUUACUUUUUGUAUGCACUAAUGGUUUUUAUUGGGUAUACGAGUGUUUAGAUAUAAUUUUAAACAAGAACAGGUAGUAAGGAUUUAUAAGACUAGCGGUUGAAUUGGGUAUACAUUCAUUUAUGUGGGUUUGUC
rnacentral:lncRNA from 1 species